GAUGAACGCUAGCGGGAGGCCUAAUACAUGCAAGUCGAGGGGUAGAUGUCUUUCGGGACAUUGAGACCGGCGCACGGGUGAGUAACGCGUAUGCAACCUACCUUCAACUAUGGGAUAGCCCGGAGAAAUCCGGAUUAAUACCACAUAAUACUAUUGAGUCGCAUGGUUUGAUAGUUAAAGAUUUAUCGGUUGAAGAUGGGCAUGCGUUAGAUUAGCUAGUUGGUAAGGUAAUGGCUUACCAAGGCUACGAUCUAUAGCGGGUCUGAGAGGAUGAUCCGCCACACUGGUACUGAGACACGGACCAG
rnacentral:rRNA from 1 species